rnacentral:rRNA from 1 species
CGUGUGAACCAUGGUUAAGGAACUCGGCAAAAUGCCCCCGUAACUUCGGGAGAAGGGGGGCCGGAUACGUUACAUGGCUUGCCCAUGGAAGCGUUGAUGGCCGCAGAGACCAGGCCCAAGCGACUGUUUACUAAAAACACAGGUCCGUGCGAAGAAGUAAUUCGAUGUAUACGGACUGACGCCUGCCCGGUGCUGGAACGUUAAGGGGACAGGUUAGCUGGUUUAGGCCGGCGAAGCUUUGAACUUAAGCGCCAGUAAACGGCGGUGGUAACUAUAACCAUCCUAAGGUAGCGAAAUUCCUUGUCGGGUAAGUUCCGACCUGCACGAAUGGCGUAACGACUUGGGCGCUGUCUCAACCAUGGACUCGGCGAAAUUGCAUUACGAGUAAAGAUGCUCGUUACGCGCAGCAGGACGGAAAGACCCCGGGACCUUUACUACUACUUGGUAUUGGUGGUCGGUACAACUUGUGUAGGAUAGGUGGGAGACUGUGAAGCUCGGACGCCAGUUCGGGUGGAGUCAUCGUUGAAAUACCACUCUGGUUGUUCUGGCUGUCUAACUUAGGUCCAUUAUCUGGAUCAGGGACAGUGCCUGGUGGGUAGUUUGACUGGGGCGGUCGCCUCCUAAAAGGUAACGGAGGCGCUCAAAGGUUCCCUCAGCCUGGUUGGCAAUCAGGUGUCGAGUGUAAGUGCACAAGGGAGCUUGACUGUGAGACAGACAUGUCGAGCAGGGACGAAAGUCGGAACUAGUGAUCCGGCGGUGGCAUGUGGGAGCACCGUCGCUCAGCGGAUAAAAGGUACCCCGGGGAUAACAGGCUGAUCUUCCCCAAGAGUCCAUAUCGACGGGAUGGUUUGGCACCUCGAUGUCGGCUCGUCGCAUCCUGGGGCUGGAGUAGGUCCCAAGGGUUGGGCUGUUCGCCCAUUAAAGCGGCACGCGAGCUGGGUUUAGAACGUCGUGAGACAGUUCGGUCUCUAUCCGCUGCGCGCGCAGGAGACUUGAGAAGGGCUGCCCCUAGUACGAGAGGACCGGGGUGGACGAACCUCUGGUGUGCCAGUUGUUCCGCCAGGAGCACGGCUGGUUGGCUACGUUCGGGAGUGAUAACCGCUGAAAGCAUCUAAGCGGGAAGCACGCUUCAAGAUGAGGUCUCCCACCGAGUUAAUCGGGUAAGGCCCCCAGUAGACCACUGGGUUGAUAGGCCAGAAGUGGAAGCACCGUAAGGUGUGGAGCUGACUGGUACUAAUAGGCCGAGGGCUUGUUCC